GAACUUAGACGCGCACCUCUAUAGCCAUCCAGUCGGUCUCGGCUGUUUGCUAAACCCUUACGGGAUACGCCUCUCCUGUUCUUCGCAGCAGCUUUCAACAGGUGGUAAACAAACUGAAAGUAAUAGCAUCCCCCAUCCGAUGCUCUAGAAUCAGAGUUGGAAGAAGGAUGUGUCAUCUUCUUUAGAUUAAUUUGAUGUACUUUUCUACCUAUUGUAGGCUAAAGGCCCUUCCACCUAUACAAAACUGACAAAUGGCUUUAUCUUCUCAGUUCUUGACCCCUAGGGACUGGCAUGUAACAUCCCUUAGUUCAAACCUUCUUUGUGGUACUCCAUUGUGGUUGCACUCCAAUGUCGGUUGCAAGUACCAAAGAAAAGAAAAUUUCAAGACUUGUUAUACUUUAACACCUCGUGCCUCUGUUAAGAUUGUCCGUAGUCGUCCAUUAGAUCGGCAUGCUGUAAAACAUAACAAAACUCGAUUUGUACAAAAGCUGAUAAUCCUGCUGCUGUCUAAACCAAAGCAUUAUAUACCAAUCCACAUUCUUUCCAAGUGUCGUGGCUAUCUUUCCCUUCCCAAACCCCGCUCUCUUCUUUCAAUGAUUCAUCGUUAUCCUUCCAUUUUUGAACUUUUUUCAAUCCCUUAUCCACCCACACCACUCAAUGCAACUAAGCUAUACCCCCAACUUUGUGUUCGUCUAACCCCAGUAGCAGCAUCUCUUGCUAAGCAGGACUCCAAUCUCAAAUUGGUGAUCUCUAACACCCUGGCUGAAAAGCUCCAGAAGUUACUUAUGCUUUCUUCGCACCACAGGAUUCUCUUAUCCAAGCUGGUUCACCUUGCUCCCGACCUAAGCAUGCCCCCAAAUUUUAGGUCCCGUCUCUGUAAUGAUUAUCCAGAAAAAUUCAGGACUGUCGACACUUCAUAUGGCCGUGCACUGGAGCUUGUCUUCUGGGACCCAGAGUUGGCAAAGCCUUUACCUUGCCUUCAAGUUUCUUCACGUGAGCUAAUAGUGGAUAGACCUUUAAAAUUCAACUUGUUGAAACUAAGAAAGGGACUGAACUUGAAAAGAGCCCACCAGGAAUUUCUAAUUAAGUUCAGGGAUUUGCCAGAUGUUUGCCCUUACAAAACUCCUGCGAGUGAGUUGGCUAAGGAGUCUCUCGAGUCAGAGAAACGAGCUUGUGCUGUAGUGCGAGAGGUAUUGGGGAUGAUGAUUGAGAAGAGGACUUUAAUAGAUCACUUGACACAUUUUAGAAAAGAUUUUGGGCUACCCAAUAAACUUAGAGGAAUGAUUGUGAGGCAUCCAGAGUUAUUUUAUGUGAGUCUGAAGGGUCAGAGAGACUCUGUAUUCCUUGUAGAGGGGUUCAACGAUAAGGGUCAUCUAAUAGAGAAGGAUGAGACUUUGGCUAUCAAAAAUCAAUGGAUGAAGCUUUUGAUGGAAGGGAAAAGGAUGAGACGGGAGAAGAGGAAGGCUCAAAUAUAUGACAGUAGAUAUGGAAAUGAUCAUGAAAAUCAUAGUCAUGACCAUGAGAUGGAAACUGACUAUGAUGAUGAUUACGAAGAUGGUUUUGAGAGUUUAUUUCAGUAUGAGGAUUUAGAUUUUGAGGAUGAGGAGAGUGAUCUGCCAAGCAAUAGGUCAAAUGGAGACUUUUGGACUACAAAUAAUGCAGCAGAUAUUAUAAAUGGCGAAAAUGGAGGACAUAUAAAACCGUGGUGAUGGUUAAUAUAACUUGUUUGAUAUAUUUGGAAGAUUCAUCAAAAUAUUUCUACAGUUAACGUAAACAAAGUGCCUCUUCAGUUUGUUUAUUAAAUUCAGAAAAAGCACUUUGUGAACAUAAAGGUCAGGCUUGGAAGCUCAAAGGAUGUUUAAAUGUAGCCUGGUGAUCUUUAGGAAGGGCUGAAGCCACUGCCUCUUGGCUCAUGUAUUUGUGCUUGAGCAAGGUCCCCAUGAAUGUAUGCUCUGCUGAUAUAACACUAUACCUUCUCCAGCUGUAUAUUGAACUUGCUUGUCAUGUUCGUUUAUCUCCUCAAAAUGUAGAAUGAUUGGAAUACCUUAUGGAGUGUGAACAAAACUUCUCCCUAAUCAAGAGGGAUGUAUGAGAGAUAAGUCCUAACUCCUGUUUACGUGUACCAUUUGAUACACUAAGACAACAUAUUCCAGUUAAUGAAUAAUGUAAAUAUUCAGAUAUAGUUCGGUACCUCGUCUCUACUCCUUGGUCGCAGGCAGUGAAUGUAUUCAGAUUAAUUUUCUCCUCUUUGGGACAGUGUUAAUAAGAGGGUAUUUUCAUUUUUUGUUUACUAAUUACUCAUUUACUGUUUCUUAUUUUUAGUUUCUAAGAAGCAUGUGUUUAGCAACUAUUGUUCCUUCUCGUUUCUCAUUUUUAAGAAACAAGAAACAAUUAUGAAUCACUUUUUUUCUUUCGUAUAAAACAGAAAACAUGGAAUACGAAACAGGAUCCUCACCAAAUAAGUCCUAAAUUCUUCUGUUAAACAUGUGAAUAAUGUUUAAAAAUUUCCUCCCCAUAAUUUUGAUUAUAUGUAUGUAUCACGUCUUGUGUAUUUGCGGGAGCAUUAUGGAUGGAUCCUUCUAGCUUUGGUUGUAUCCUUAGUAUAUGCUCCUAAACUGAUGAAUUGGCUUCUGAUGACUGCACAGUAACAGAUAUUCUGUGUGGACAGAUACGGGUCAAACAUUUUUAUCCAUACUAUGAUGUGUUACACGUUUUGCCAUAUAUCCUUAAUUUCAGUUCUCUGCAGGUGUAUUAAUCUUAUGCCUAUUUUACUGCUGUUUUCUGAGGUUUGUCUAGCUUUUUAUACACAGAAUCAUUGUUUAUGAUUUUUAAUAUAUUUUCUUAUUUUGAUUCAGAAAAUAGAUAGGUGAUGCCAGACAUCUUCACUGACGAGACUUUGUUUCUUCUUGAUGUUUGUUGGACUCUAGUUGUUUGAUGAACACACAUACCAAUUAUUACAAAUCAAAAGUGUUCUGAAAAGGCCAACAAAGCAUGUGUCUAGUCACCACGAUGCGACUUCCUGCAAUGUAGAUGAAAACAAAGGAAUCGACGAACAUCGAAAACAAAGCAUAAUGAUGAUGGUAUCAGUUUGAGUUUUCAAAUGUUCUUAUCAAUUAUUGCUUUAAACCUUUUCUCCUAGCAUGUAUUAUACUUGCAAUUCUCAGAAAACAUCUCCUGCAACCUUUUUUAAUGCAUGUAUGUUUAGAGCCUUAGUUGGAGGAAGCAAAGGAAGUUUCCUAAAUCAAAAUGAACUUUUUGUUGGAAAUGAUAACCUUUUGGUGAAUCUUCCAAUAAAAAGUGGGACAUAGCAUAAUCAUAUGCAUCAAAUUUACAGUAAAUAAAUGCAUAAAAAGCUUAUAUAACUUAUUAGUCAUGCAAUUCAAAGUAUUCAUUGUUUAUUAUCUGUAGGAUUUGUAAGUUGUAAUGAGCCAUCUCUGACAGAUAAAGAUGAAAAAGAAAGGCUUGCAAAUUUUUUUGAAGUAUUGGGAUACUGUUUCAGGCUUUUCAGGGUCCAUGCUUUGCCUUCUUAAUAGCCAACAGAACCAUCAAAGAAGCAGCUAAGUUAAACCAACCAACCAUUUGCUUUCAUUUUGUUGGCUUUUAAGGCAUUGCAAACUUCAAUGGUCCAGAAAAAAGGCCCCAACAGAUAGAUUCUCGUAAGAAUAUUCUUCCUUAUAAUUGCUUCAUUUGUUUAGCAAAAUUUAGACCUUAGAAUCCUUUUCACAUUGUGUUUUCUUCAUUCUUUCUAAGACUUUAGACUAACUUCAAUAUAAAUAUUUUGAAACU